CAAGGCCCGGAAGUGGGUGGGAACAAGGCCCGGAUAUAGAAUACACUGUAGGUGGCAGGAAUGAGCUAGGAAAUCUCUGCCUCACUGGUCAAAGCCUGAACCCCCUAGGAGGCGCAGAAUAGGAUUGGGGAUGAAGUGGCUCAUGUGGACAGGCAGCAGCAGCACUGAGAAGCCCCACGAUGAGAGAUCGAUGCCCUGGAUCGUCAAGAAUUCUUCACCAGUACAUCUGUAAUUCAACACACACAAAGGAUUUAGAAGAGCACAAAUCUUCUGAAAGAGCAGAUUUCUUCCUCCUGAGAGGAUGAACCUAUGAGGAGGAAGAAUGGGGAUGGCCUCCUCUGCUUUCACUUUCCCAUCCAUGUCCUCCUGACUAGGAACUGGAAAGGAAGUUGUAUUAGAAGAGCCCAGGCCACACCAGGAGAGAGAAUAUGUGAGAAAUAAGGUCUCUCUCCAAACAGGUUUUCUCAUCAGUAAAUCAAAAUGCAAAAUAUUCUCUGCAUUUCUUCUUUAUUAUUUUGAAUAUUCAUGAGAGAUUUGACGUAUCACAAUAUUUCUCUCUGUUUUAUAUAUCAAAAUCAAAUCAUGAGAACAAUCACGAAAAGUGAAGGUAUUGUAAGUUUAAAACAGACGAGUUUUAUCAAAAAUCUAUGUAUUUUAAUAGUAUUAGACAAAAAAAGAUACUUUUCUCAACAUGCUGAAUUAUUUAUAUCCUUUAUUGCAGGGCACAUUCUCUGAUAGGACAUUUUUCACACACACACACACACACACACACACACACACACACACACACACACACACACCAGUCUUUGAUUUCUUGAAGUCUUCCAGAGUGUGAGGCAGAGGAACGACCCUAAAUGAUAGCAGGCACAGCUCACCUUGCCGUCCCGACAUUUUCAGGAUCAGCUCAUAGGUACCAUACCAUAUCCUUAUAAAAAUUAUAUGGCUUUGUUAGCCUAUCAGGGCAGCUUAUGUCAAACUCAAAUGUUCUGAAACUCAAAUCCACAAUCAAAGCACCAAAACUCUUCUCCACGAUGCCCUAAAGAAUCUUUUCUGCACAUUAUCAACAUUAUGGAGUAGUGUUGAAACUAUGUCCUCUGGCGCACAGGGACUCACUCUGGGGAACAGGCAAAGGACAGAGAGUUAACCCUGGUCUUACCGGCAGGUCCCCUCUAAGUCUAAUGCUAAUUCUAUGCCCCAUUAUGACCCUGAGCUCAAACUUACAUUACAUAGUUAUGGCAUCUACUGACUUCUUCUAUGUUGUGUUCUGAACAGAAGUUUUGUCCAAGGAAUUCAUUGUGCAGCAAAGCCUGUAACAAAAGCAGGAGCAGGGAAAGGAAAACAGACUUAUAUUUCAUUUUCAUACGUUUCCAAAGAAUAAACACAGCUAUAUCUUCAAGUACAAUCUUUACCACUAUUUGCAAAACAUUUUAAAAAAAACCCAACCAGGUUCAUAGUCUGCUCAGUCCACCAGUGUCCCUGUCUGGACUGCUCCAGAAUCCAAAGGCUUAUGAUUGAAAUAAUGAUGUUUCCCGUUGACUAAAAUGUGAAAUCGCUAACUAAAUUACCCCACGCAUCCUCCUUCUUUGCCCUCUAAUUUUGCAACCCCAUAAGAGCCAUAAUUAAAACAAUACUAUUGGGUUAUAGGAGGAACAUGUUCUUGCUUGUUUUCAUCAAAACCAGCUGUAAUUAUGGGAGUAAAAGGACACUGAGAUGCACUCCGCUGCAGAGAAAGCAUGUGUAGCCAAUAUGGCUGGCAUAGUCCAAACCAUUGUGGCUGUUACCAUCCCUAAGCUGUGGUCCUGGUUUCUGUAAGAAACAAGCUGAACAAGCCAUAAGGAGCAAACCCAUAAGCAACACCCCUCCAUUGCCUCUAUAUCAUCAGUUCCUGCCUCACUGUUCCUGCUAAACGGUUUCUGGAGGUUUGCCUGGACAUCUGGAAACAAGAGCAGCAGACUCCAGCAAGCUUUAUCACACCACGUGCCCUUCUCGUAUAAAGAGUCUAGCAUGCCAUUUGCUCUGUAGGAUCAGUGUCCCAUUCAAAUCGAAGGAUGCCGGAGCCAGUGAUUCCCUGCCUCGAAAGCUUAACAGAGUGAACUCUAGCAACACUAGAGUGCUGUUGGGAUGCUCCUGAGAAUUAACUUUAAAGGCUGCCUGCAUGAUUCAAAGGGGAAAACUUGGGACAUGUGAAUUUAUUCCACGAAAGCUUUCUACCUUUUUUUUUAAGUAAGUCUAAGACUUGAUACUUACUCACAGUUGAACUCUUAGUAGAAAAGCUGCUUUAGUUAUAAUGAAAAAAAUUUAUUAUCAUUUCUAAAAAUCAUAAACAGGAUUUUUAAAUCAUUAAGGCUUUUCCUGUGUGAGACCGUCCGUUUCCUUGAGCAUCGUUAUGUUGUGACCCCCUCUGGAACCUUCUGAACGGUGGUUUCAGUUCACAUCUCAGGAAAGGGGCCCUCCCAGGUUAACUUCAGUUUGUUUUCUGUUUUGUUUUGUUUGGUCCCCUAGCAGGAAAUAUGGGCUGGUAAUUUUUAGCAGAGGAGUCUUGGCAAAACUAUAACCUGAGAGGGGUCUUGGGGAGGAGAAAACCAGGACAUCAUUUAUGAGAAACCAAUUUUAGUUUCCCUGGGGAGAAGGCCUGUAGAUCUGCUGACAUGCAGAAGGGCAUGUGACAUUCGUGUGGAGAGGGGACCCCUCUCCCUGAGAGCUAUUUUAUCCUUAACUAAAUCUCUUUAGUCAUGAGUUACUCUAAGACCCUUUUUUCAUCCCACUAGCAGUAGCGGUGGAGGGAA